rnacentral:rRNA from 1 species
CCUACGGGAGGCAGCAGUGGGGAAUAUUGCGCAAUGGGCGAAAGCCUGACGCAGCGACGCCGCGUGAGGGAUGAAGGUCUUCGGAUCGUAAACCUCUGUCAGCAGGGAAGAACGGUCACUGUGCUAAUCAGCAGUGAAUUGACGGUACCUGCAAAGGAAGCACCGGCUAACUCCGUGCCAGCAGCCGCGGUAAUACGGAGGGUGCGAGCGUUAAUCGGAAUUACUGGGCGUAAAGCGCUCGUAGGCGGUAUGUCAAGUCAAGGGUGAAAUCCCCGCGCUCAACGUGGGAUCUGCCUUUGAAACUGGCAAACUGGAGUGUGUGAGAGGUAAGUGGAAUUCCAGGUGUAGGAGUGAAAUGCGUAGAUAUCUGGAAGAACAUCAGUGGCGAAGGCGACUAUCUGGCACAUAACUGACGCUGAGGAGCGAAAGCGUGGGUAGCAAACAGGAUUAGAUACCCGGGUAGUC